CCUGCCUCCAGCCGACCUCACAACAGGCGUAUGAAGAUGCCUUAUAAACAGACUAGUGGUCCCAAUCACCAGCAGCAGCAGCAGUGUGUUAGCUGUGAGCAGCACCACAGAGACAGGGCUGGCAGAUCUGAAGAUCUGAAAGGAAGAACAAGGUUCCUGAGAGUCAGGUGAGCAGAAGGGAGGGGAGGCGUGGGGAAGGAAGUCCAUGUCUUUGUGAGAGCUGCACCUUGGCAGGCAGGUUUUGGAGCCAUAGGAGAAGGGAGCCUAGAACAGCCUCAGGCUAAACACAUCCUCAAAAGGUCUGUGUUUUGUAUGGCUCAGGAUCUCAAAGAGGGUUUGCAAACAUAGAGAGCUUUAUGAUUUGGUCUGAGCGAAGAACUUUAAAGAUAUCUUUGCCUUUCCCUUGAGCAUUUCCGUCAACCAGAUCCACCUGCUGAGCAUCUACUCUGAGGGACCCGACUCUCCCGUCAGCACAGAUAGUGAAAGAAAAGAAUGUGUCCCCCUGUUGUCUAACACACUGACUUCCUCUGCCACGGAUGAGCCUUUGUCUACCGUCAACGCAACCAUUCAGGUGCUGACUCCCUGGCACAAGGAAGGGACUUCACAGAAACAGAACAGAACGAAGGAGCUGUAUUUCUUUGGAUAAAGAGGUUGCUUUUAGGACCAGAUUCAUCUGUGGAAGCUGACAGAGGACACACCGAGGCCUGACAUUUCCAGAUGGAUCCGCCUGGCAGGUUCUGGGGCCCUUGUACACUGGACCCCUCACCCGCUCACUGUUCGCUCACCACUCUUGUUGAGGAAGGUCCCAGCCUCACACGGCAUGCACUCAAAGCAACAAUGGUGGGAGCCCACAACCACUCUGUGGUGCCCUUCGAGGCAGUCUCUGGUGCACACAGACGCAGGGACCUGUAAGAAGCCACAGUGGUUUGUAAUCACAUACAGGGGCCCCAGUCCAGGGACAGCUCACACGUGGCACAGAAACAAGAUCUCCAUGCCUCUGCCCUCCAGGUUUAGGUGCAGAGCGGAGUCCUGGGAGCAUCUGUUCCUGGCAGGCCUGAGCAGAACUCAGGUGGCCUGACAUCGGGCAUCUCCUUCCUAUUCUGGGUAGGCAUCACCCCCGGGCUUCUGGUAACAAAGCUGUCACCUGGUGACUGACCAUGCCCCUGUUACCUGAUUGUUCUUCCCAUGCCACCGGAUUUUUGUCUUAUUUAUGUUUAGCUGAACUGGAGACAAUGUGGCAGAGCCAAUGACCUCAAAGGUCCAUUCAGGCCCAUUCCAGUCCCAGGCGAUGAUGUCAUAGUCAUCUAAAGGAUCCCCGAUAUCAUCGAAUGCCACCGUGUGCUUAUGUAGAAGGAAAUUCACCUUGUGGAUCUGCUGCAGAAGCUGGGACAAACAGACGUCAUGAAGCCAAGCUACCAUAGAACACAGACCCAGGCAACCCAGGACACAAGCAGGAACUCUCUUGUGCUUGUCCUGAGUGGUUCCAACCCACCUAUAAGGCCUAGUUCCUUCCUCAGCAAUCUGUUCCCACUUCUAGGAAUCCCCUUGGCCCCUGCCCAGGCUCCUGAGAGACCUCUAGUAAAGGACUCUUUUGCAGACAUUGUUGGCCUUUGAUAUCUCUGGGGCACGGUGGGUGGGAGAAGACAAGGCUCAAAGAGGAGAAGAACUGAUCUAAGAGAAGAAUAGAGACUCUUCUCAUAGUGAACAGAGAUUCAUUCUCCCCAGAUAGUCCAUGUACCCACACUGCCAGGGCUGAAUGGUCUCCUGGAUGCAGACACCCUGGCAGGAAUCUCUUACCUGCCAGGGGUAGACUGGACCCCUUGAACAGGUCUCCGAGGUACAUCCCAGAAGCUGGUGGAGACCAUGGGCCACAGCAUACACAGCCUGGUACACAUUGUAGGCAGCACUCAUGGAGAAGGUUCCAAGCAUGGGCAUGUUAUGUGUCGUGAAGGCAUGGCACUCUCGGCACAGCUGGUUAGUGCUGCACUGGGAUCCCUUUGGACAAGACCUGGGGGCACCCUUUACUGCCCUGAUGUAAGACUCUUCAAACUCCUUCAAGCCAGGGACAAGUCUCUGUUUGAUGGCCACACCCAGCACUGUCCCAAUGCCCUGGAUCCCAGGUAUACUGGUGAUGUACGUGGAGAUGGCCCAGUCUUCUGAGGCAAUCCACACCUUGCCAGUCAGGUUGGCCAGCACCACCGACCUGAAGAACACUCUAGCCAGGUGUCGGCUAGAGAAAACCACGACCACAGUGGUCCUGGCUUGAGCUAGCUGCUGCAUCAUCUGCUGCAUUCUCAGGUCACCCACCUGGGCAGAAAAGGGCACGAUAUCCUUGAAGGCAAUGCAGAUGCCCUGUGGGGUGGCCAGUUCCUCCAGGGCCCGCACGCCCAGCUGCCCAUAAUUACCAUAGCUGCCAAUGAGUGAGAUCCAGACCCACCCAAAACUCCGCAGCAGCAGCAGCAUAACCUUCACCUGAUGCUUGUCACUGGGGAUCGUGCGAAGAAAAGACGGGUACUGGCGCUUUGAGCUGAGAAUCUCACUGCUGGCCUCAUAGCUGAUCUGGGGAAGGGUUUCAUUCAGUGACAUCAGCAACAUCAACCUUGGGUGAGGCAUGCCCCUCCCCACAGUCCCCACCCAAAUCAAGAGGAUAGGCUCCUUUGGGGAGUGCCAGGAGGUAUGGGGAUCUGCCUAUAGAUCAAGUGAAAGGGCCAUGUCAUUUAAACACAGAACAGUCCAUGCUUCCUUGGCAUCAGUAGGACAGGGCAGGAGACCUGAACUCUAAAGUUGAAGGGGUCACUUCUGUCCUGUACACUGUGGGGACUCCCAGGGUCCCCCUGAGAAAUGACAUGUUCAGACUCAAGUUUGAGGAGUAUAUCUCUAACUGAAGUGAACUGAACUGCUGGAAAGGCUCAAGACUAGAGCAGGGGCUGAUGGGAUCAUCUAUGUGAGGGACAGUGGUGCUCUGUAAAAGGCGAAAGAUUUAACCAGGUGUAACCGGUAACUCCAGCAGUUAGGAGGUGGGGGGGAUCAAGAGUUUAAAGCUAUCCUAGACUCUAACACAAGUACAGGGCCAACCUGGGCUACAAGAGUCCCUGUCUUAAAAAGACAAAAGAAAAAAGAUGACAGAUAGGUUCUGAAGGGAAACUAGACUUUAAUGGUGAUGUCUCAAAAAGGCAAAAGAAAAAAAAGAGAGAGAGAUUCUGAAGGGAAACUAGACUUUAAUGGUGAUGGUCUGAAAACUGUCAGUAAAAAGCUAGGUGGGUCGUGAGGCUGCAACGGAGAGUGAGUUCCUCACAGAGCCUCUGGUGGGGAAGCUGGGUGAGGAAGGCACGCGCCAAAGUCAGAAUGCAUGGUCUCCAUGGCCUGGAACAGGAAGAAAGAGGAGACCAGGGAAAUACCAGCUGCCUCAGAGGCAGGAGACAAAAGGACUCUCCAGAGAGAGGAUCUGACAGUAAAGGGGGUAGGGUAUUAAUGUCAAGGAUAGUGCCCUACAGCCGAGGUCAGACAGGCCACAAAGCAGCCACGUACAGUAAGAACUGAAAAGCACUCUUUGAAUUUGGAACUGAAGAAGGUAUUCCUACAGUUAGACCAAGUGUGGACAGAAUCCGAGACCGAGGCAGAAAUGGACGAGUAAAAUAAGCUAGACUUUCAGAGAGCUCUAGGAAGUUCAACGGCAAGGGGCAGGAAGAACCAGACUCAUGAGGACAGGGGAGAGGGAUCCCUGCAGACAGAAGAGCUACUUGGACAGACUGCUGAGGACAGCAGCGGCCAGGCGUGGGGCAGCACAGGACCACCGCUGAACAGCAAGGAAGAAAAGCGGCCAGCGGGUGAUGCAGUAUCUGGGUGGGAAGUAAAGGCUUUUGGGAUAGCAAAGGCAGUGGAGUCUUUGGAUGAAGAGAAGACAGAGAGUGAGCAGCUGGGUAGCUACUCUUUCAAAAGGAGGACAGGGAGUUAGCUGUGGUGGCCCACGCCUUUAAUUCCAGCACGGAGGCAGAGGCAGAGGCAGGCAGAUCUCUGUGAGCUCAAGGCUACAGAGUGAGUUCCAGGGCAGCCAGUGCUACAUAGUGAGAUCCUGUCAAACCAAACAAACAAAAAUCAAAAGGCCAGGGUUUCCCAAUGAUGGCUGAGGCAGAAAGGCUAGAAGUAGCUGGGGACAGACAGGCAGGAAGACUGGGUAGUAGCCAUGGCAGCAGAAUGCCUACAGCUUGUCUAGAGAACAAGGGCUGCCCAGAGAUCCAGGGGGAAGGCUACCUCAGGGAGGGCAGGCUAGCCUCAGGGAGGGCCAUAGCUCCCAUGGCCCUCCACCCUAGACUCGUAGAUUGGGAUCCCCAGGGUUUGGCUUACCAGGGGCAUCAGAAAGGGGCCCAGCAGGGCAGCAGCAGUGACGGCGUGGUUGGUGUUGUCAGGCCCGAUAAGUGCUACCACCUUGGAGGAAUAGUUGUGAAGGUCUCUCUGCAUCGCUAUGUGGUCAGUCUCCUGCUGGGCGAGCACCCUCAGUAAGGCGUACACAUUGGCCGACUCUGAGCACACAUCAUACAGCUCAUACCCCAGGGAGACGUUAGGAAGCAAGACUGUGGAGUUGUUUAUCUCCUCGAUGCUGAACCGCAUGGCCUGGAAGAGGUGGUAGCCAUGGCCAACGAAGCUGUCAGGCCUGCAGGGAAAGCCCAGGGAGGACUGAGAAGGUUGAAGGCCCGCCCCCACCACCACUACCACCAUCUCCUGCAUCCCAAGCUUUAGGGGCAGAAAGGACCUCUGAGGUCUGUCCAAGUCAAUGCCAGCCUGAACGCCCCCACUUAGCAUCUCAGAACUGAGGUGUCACACAUUGUGCAGUGCAGAGUCUUUCUCGUAUGUACAAAGUUUUCUGCUCUCACCAGAACGCGAUGGUUUAAUAAAGGAAAGCGAAGACCUUUCCUCCAUGGCCGCGGCAUUCUGUAGCACACAAGUAUCAGAGUGGCAUCUCUUUCGGCUGAUUAGCCAGGAAUGCUUGCUCACCUAAGUACUGUCUGAACUGCUGACUCAAGGUUCCAAUAAACUGUUCAAUGACUUUUGGCUUAGUGUUGGGACAGAGUUUCCAAUAACUUCAGAAAUGGCCCUAAGCAUACUUUUGCUACUUAUACUAUAUAUCUGAAGUAGUGUUCUCAACACUCAACGUAUCAAGUUGAAAGAAAAAAAAAAUCUGUGUUCAGAUGUGCUAAAUAUUCAGCUGAGAUUUUUUUGUUUGUUUGUUUGUUUUUUGAAACGGGGUUUCUCUGUAACUUUAGCUGACUAAAAAGUCACCCGAGUGCUGGGACUAAAGGCCUGCGCCACCAUUGCCCGGCAGCUGAGAUUCCUUUAUGUAAAAAUAAACAAGAACAUUCAUCUCAUCAUCUCAUUACCAUUA